CGCGUUAUACGAAAGGCCCUAAAUAACGACAAACCGGCGUAAAAUGUGACUAGAGAUCUAUAAUAUUUUAAAUAUUAAAAUUCAUUAGCCUAGUUGUAAAACACUUAGACAAUGGAGAAAACCAGCACAAAUAUUCUUAAUAUUAUAUUCUUGAUUACACGAAAGCUUAGAAACAAACUAGGAUUAGAUACCCUACUAUGCUAAGCCCUGAACAUUGAAAGUUACCUAUACUUUACUUUCCGCCAGAGAACUACGAGUGAAAAACUUAAAACUCAAAGGACUUGACGGUGUCCCAUAUCGG
rnacentral:rRNA from 1 species